rnacentral:rRNA from 1 species
GAUGAACGCUGGCGGCGUGCCUAAUACAUGCAAGUCGAGCGAACAGACAAGGAGCUUGCUCCGCUGACGUUAGCGGCGGACGGGUGAGUAACACGUGGAUAACCUACCUAUAAGACUGGGAUAACUUCGGGAAACCGGAGCUAAUACCGGAUAAUAUAUUGAACCGCAUGGUUCAAUAGUGAAAGACGGUUUUGCUGUCACUUAUAGAUGGAUCCGCGCCGCAUUAGCUAGUUGGUAAGGUAACGGCUUACCAAGGCAACGAUGCGUAGCCGACCUGAGAGGGUGAUCGGCCACACUGGAACUGAGACACGGUCCAGACUCCUACGGGAGGCAGCAGUAGGGAAUCUUCCGCAAAGGGCGAAAGCCUGACGGAGCAACGCCGCGUGAGUGAUGAAGGUCUUCGGAUCGUAAAACUCUGUUAUUAGGGAAGAACAAAUGUGUAAGUAACUAUGCACGUCUUGACGGUACCUAAUCAGAAAGCCACGGCUAACUACGUG